GAUGAACGCUGGCGGCGUGCCUAAUACAUGCAAGUCGAGCGAACGGACGAGAAGCUUGCUUCUCUGAUGUUAGCGGCGGACGGGUGAGUAACACGUGGAUAACCUACCUAUAAGACUGGGAUAACUUCGGGAAACCGGAGCUAAUACCGGAUAAUAUUUUGAACCGCAUGGUUCAAAAGUAAAAGACGGUCUUGCUGUCACUUAUAGAUGGAUCCGCGCUGCAUUAGCUAGUUGGUAAGGUAACGGCUUACCAAGGCAACGAUGCAUAGCCGACCUGAGAGGGUGAUCGGCCACACUGGAACUGAGACACGGUCCAGACUCCUACGGGAGGCAGCAGUAGGGAAUCUUCCGCAAUGGGCGAAAGCCUGACGGAGCAACGCCGCGUGAGUGAUGAAGGUCUUCGGAUCGAAAAACUCUGUUAUUAGGGAAGAACAUAUGUGUAAGUAACUGUGCACAUCUUGACGGUACCUAAUCAGAAAGCCACGGCUAACUACGUG
rnacentral:rRNA from 1 species